UUUUUCUUGGCAAAUUAUGUUUUUCGAGGAUGUCAAGUUUACUUGGCCAGCAUGUCAAAUCCGUCCCAAUUAAUUUUCAUGCCAAAAAAUUGUUGCGUUCGCCAAUUAAAUUUGUCAUCCUCGCAUCAACAUAAAUUGAAAUGAAAUACGUUCAAUUUAUCAUGCCUAAAAAUCUGACAUGGUAUUUCCAUGUUUAAUGGGCUGUUGGGCCUCGAGACACCUCGUGCCCGCGGGGAGGUAGUCCAGACCGAUCCGCAUAAACCUGGCCGGUCACCACCUCUCUCUCGACCCCUGCCGUGCGCCCGCGCCCCUCAAGACAAAAGAACCCCCGCCUUGCCCAUCAAGAAAGAAAAACCAAACCGUCAUCACCACCUCUCUCUCCAUACCCCGCCGCGCACCGCGCCAGCUCGUCGGCGGCGGAUCCGGCGGCUAGGGAGAGCCCCGUCGGCGGCGGAUCCGGCGGCUAGGGAGAGACCCGGCAGCGGCGGAUCCGGCGGCUAGGGAGAGACCCGGCGGCGGCGGAUCCGGCGGCUAGGGAGAGACCCGGCGGCGGCGGAGGGUCUACUCGUUGCCGCUCCAUCCUCGUCGUCGUCGGAUCCGGCGCCGAGGAAAACCCCGUCGGCGGAUACUCGUUGCCGCUCAACCGUCGUAGGUGGCGAGGAAGACGGCGCCGAAGAAGACGCCUCUUCGCUGGACAAUCAAGGACCCCGACCCCGUGGGCGAACGAAUCUGUUGCCUGACCUCGUCACCGGAGGACACUCGGUGCCGCUCCCCUGGACGAAGGCUUCGAACGUCCAACCUCCAGAGCAAGGAAGGUCCUCUCGUCGCGGGAGGAUACUCGGUGCUGCUCGUCCAACCUCCAUUCUGAGUCUGUUGCAAGCACUUCGGAUCAGUAAACAGCUCUUCUCUCCAUCAGGAUCAAGAUGGGCCCAUCGCCCUUCAUGAGGUUUGGAAUGAUCGCUCGGAAGCUUUGCUCGUUGGUUGGAGGUUCCAAAACACCUCCUACUCGUCCUUAUGAGACUAUCAAAAUGACCCCGUUUCGCCGGCUGUCAACAUUACCAUAUUGGGAUUCUGUUCCACUUAACCCCCGAAUGUAUGUUGUUCUAUAUUUAUGUGCAUCUACACUCUAUCUUGUAUAUUCACUUGCUAUUCAUUUGAUAACUAUAAUUUGUUCUCAUUCUUGCUAAGCAGUAUUGUUGAAUCUAUUUUAACUCUGUUGUAAGCUUGUUGUGAUGGUGUUAUGGACUGAUCGCUGAAUUUAUGACCUAUCUAACUGGAUUGAUUGGCUUAAAUAAACCUUUCUUGAUAUAUGAGUUCAUGAUAAUGCAACGCUUUCCAAUUUA